rnacentral:lncRNA from 1 species
GUUUCUUUUUAAAGGAAACACGAAUAUUCACAAGAGAUUGCACGAACUCUGACAUUACUCUCUUCGGUGGGAAGUGAGCACAUCAGAAAAGACCCAGUGUCUUACAAAGCAAGAGAAGAUGGAGAAAAGUUGUUUCAGUGAGCUGUGUGCAGUUGGGAUGGAACUCUGGAUUAGAAUCACCUACCACACCCGCAGCGCUGCAUACUGGACCUGCAAGGGGCAUCGAAGGGAGGAGUGAUCGAGUUGAGAAUUUUGAUGCCCAAAAUAUGACUCAUCCAGCAACAAAGCUGCAACUGGAAACCAGCUUUCCCUGGAAUUGGGACAAGACCACAUUCUGCAAUGAUGCUUCUGGUGAGGAGCUCCUUGUAGGCACACAAAGAUGCACAGAUGCAAGUAUGCCUGCGCCUGGGGGUUGGAUGAUUGCUGUUCAUUGUAGCAGCUUUAUGAAAACAUUAAAUGUCAUUACUUAUUUCUUC